GAUGAACGCUGGCGGCGUGCCUAAUACAUGCAAGUCGAGCGAACUGAUUAGAAGCUUGCUUCUAUGACGUUAGCGGCGGACGGGUGAGUAACACGUGGGCAACCUGCCUGUAAGACUGGGAUAACUUCGGGAAACCGAAGCUAAUACCGGGUAGGAUCUUCUCCUUCAUGGGAGAUGAUUGAAAGAUGGUUUCGGCUAUCACUUACAGAUGGGCCCGCGGUGCAUUAGCUAGUUGGUGGGGUAAAGGCUCACCAAGGCAACGAUGCAUAGCCGACCUGAGAGGGUGAUCGGCCACACUGGGACUGAGACACGGCCCAGACUCCUACGGGAGGCAGCAGUAGGGAAUCUUCCGCAAUGGACGAAAGUCUGACGGAGCAACGCCGCGUGAGUGAUGAAGGCUUUCGGGUCGUAAAACUCUGUUGUUAGGGAAGAACAAGUACGAGAGUAACUGCUCGUACCUUGACGGUACCUAACCAGAAAGCCACGGCUAACUACGUGCCAGCAGCCGCAGUAA
rnacentral:rRNA from 1 species